AGAGAGGGGGACGAGCAGCGCCGAUCUGCCACUAGAAUGGAUAGAGGGACUGGGCUCCACUCACGCACCUCAAGCCCACGUGGAACGAUUAUGGAUGAGCCACGACUCCAUCCGGCAGCACGGGUGAGCCUCACAGGGCUGUGUGAGAGAAGCCAGUUCCAACAGAAUACACGUUUCCCCAACCAGGAACUGAACCUGGGCCCUGGCAGUGAAGGCGCCGCAUCCUAACCACUGGACCCCCAGGGAAUUCCCUCAUUUCUUGAUCUGGGUGCUGGUUUUACAUGUGUUCGACUUGUGGAAACCCACUGAGCACACACGGUCUGUGUUCUGUUUGUAUGUUGCAGUCCAAUAAAACUAUUACUUAAAGAAGAAGUUCAGCUGGGGGGUGGUAAGGAUUGCCUGACUUAGCCAAUAAAAAUACAGGAUGCCAGUUAAAUUUGAA